rnacentral:rRNA from 1 species
UGCCAGCCGCCGCGGUAAUACGGGGGAUGCAAGCGUUAUUCGGAAUCAUUGGGCGUAAAGGGCACGCAGGCGGUCUUGUCAGUCAGAUGUGAAAGCCCGGGGCUCAACCUCGGACGUGCACUUGAAACAGCAAGACUUGAAUACGGUAGAGGAGAGAGGAAUUCCUGGUGUAGAGGUGAAAUUCGUAGAUAUUAGAAGGAACAUCAGAGGCGAAGGCGGCUUUCUGGUCCGAUACUGACGCUGAGGUACGAAAGCAUGGGUAGCGAAGAGGAUUAGAUA